UACAGAGGGUGCGAGCGUUAAUCGGAAUUACUGGGCGUAAAGCGUGCGUAGACGGUUAUUUAAGUCGGGUGUGAAAGCCCCGGGCUCAACCUGGGAAUUGCAUUCGAGACUGAAUAGCUAGGGUACGGUAGAGGGAAGUGGAAUUUCCGGUGUAGCGGUGAAAUGCGUAGAUAUCAGGAGGAACACCUGCGGUGUAGACGGCUUACUGGACCAUCACUGACGCUGAGGCACGAAAGCGUGGGUAGCAAACAGG
rnacentral:rRNA from 1 species